rnacentral:lncRNA from 1 species
UAAAUGUUUAUUGACUUCUUGAAAAAUGCUAUGUGUCUUGCCAGACUUAGCUUACAAGUUUGGUUAAAGAGAGACUGACAUGAGCAUAAAGGAAGGGACAUUGAAAGAGGCAGAGAUGAAGGAAGAAAUUGUAACUUACUCCUUUUAUCCCACCCAUCAAAGGAAAGACAAGUUGACAAUACUAUAUCAUGAUGAAAAGCUACUGUGGUCAAACAGCAAUGAAAU